rnacentral:rRNA from 1 species
GAUGAACGCUGGCGGCGUGCCUAAUACAUGCAAGUCGAGCGAACAGACGAGGAGCUUGCUCCUCUGACGUUAGCGGCGGACGGGUGAGUAACACGUGGAUAACCUACCUAUAAGACUGGGAUAACUUCGGGAAACCGGAGCUAAUACCGGAUAAUAUAUUGAACCGCAUGGUUCAAUAGUGAAAGACGGUUUUGCUGUCACUUAUAGAUGGAUCCGCGCCGCAUUAGCUAGUUGGUAAGGUAACGGCUUACCAAGGCAACGAUGCGUAGCCGACCUGAGAGGGUGAUCGGCCACCUGGUAACUGAGACACGGUACAGACUCCUACGGGAGGCAGCAGUAGGGAAUCUUCCGCAAUGGGCGAAAGCCUGACGGAGCAACGCCGCGUGAGUGAUGAAGGUCUUCGGAUCGUAAAACUCUGUUAUUAGGGAAGAACAAAUGUGUAAGUAACUAUGCACGUCUUGACGGUACCUAAUCAGAAAGCCACGGCUAACUACGUG